rnacentral:tRNA from 1 species
GCCCCAGUGGCGCAAUCGGUUAGCGCACGGUACUUAUAAGACAGUAGUUGUGAGCAAUGCCGGGGUUGUGAGUUCGAGCCUCACCUGGGGCA